UACGGAAGGCAGCAGUGGGGAAUAUUGCACAAUGGGCGAAAGCCUGAUGCAGCUAUGCCGCGUGUAUGAAGAAGGCCUUAGGGUUGUAAAGUACUUUCAUCGGGGAGGAAAAAACAAAACUAAUAAUUUUAUUUCUUGACGUUACCCGAAAAAGAAGCACCGGCUAACUCCGUGCCAGCAGCCGCGGUAAUACGGAGGGUGCUAGCGUUAAUCAGAAUUACUGGGCGUAAAGAGCACGUAGGUGGUUUUUUAAGUCAGAUGUGAAAUCCCUGGGCUUAACCUAGGAACUGCAUUUUGAAACUGAAAUACUAGAGUAUCGUAGAGGGAGGUAGAAUUCUAGGUGUAGCGGUGAAAUGCGUAGAUAUCUGGAGGAAUACCUGUGGCGAAAGCGGCCUCCUAAACGAAUACUGACACUGAGGUGCGAAAGCGUGGGGAGCAAACGAGGAUUAGAUACC
rnacentral:rRNA from 1 species